AUAUAUUUCUCGGCCUUUUGGCUAAGAUCAAGUAUAGUAUCUGUUUAUUAGUUUAAUAUCUGAUACGUAGGCUAAUGGCUUACGCGAUAUUAAAUUAAUUUUUGAGGGUCAGAACCUUUCAUAGUAGCUUACUUCAGGAGGAGGAUCGAGCUCAAAUUUGAGCUUAAUCGAGUUUGAGUCUUGAGUUUUAAUC